rnacentral:lncRNA from 1 species
GGCGCAGAAUAGCUCGGGCGAAAAAGAAUAAGAAAUUCGUUGAGCCAGCUGAGCCACAGCAUAAGAAACGGCCUAUUGAGGAACAUAUUGACUCAAUGGAAGAAUAUAAACAGGCUGAAAGGGAUCCUCUUCUGAUUCAUGAUUUUAUUUCCAAAGCAAUAGAAGAGGCUAAGAAAAAGAAAAACUCUGAUGAAGGAGAAACUCCUGUUGAGGAAUGUAAAGAAACAGAAGAGCCUUUUUGGGGAGAGGCUUGCAGAGUUAUCACCACGCGACGCGACGAUGAAGAAACUUUUCCUUCUGGCCGCGUUAGAGAACAAGAAAGGAAUUUCAGAAAAGUUCAUAGCCAAUUGGCUGAGAUAAAAGAAAUGACACGCUGCAGCUUUCACAGGGUAAAUGAUAAUAUA